GAUGAACGCUGGCGGCGUGCUUAACACAUGCAAGUCGAACGAAGCACCUUGAUUUGAUUCUUCGGAUGAAGAUCUUGGUGACUGAGUGGCGGAUGGGUGAGUAACGCGUGGGUAACAUGCCUCUUACAGGGGGAUAACCGCUAGAAAUGACUGAUAAUACCCCAUUAGACACCAGUACCGCUUGGUACAGGGGUAAAAACUCCGGUGGUAUGAGAUGGACCCGCGUCGGAUUAGGAAGUUGGUGGGGUAACGGCCGACCAAGCCGACGAUCAUUAGCCGACCUGAGAGGGUGACCGGCCACAUUGGGACUGAGACACGGCCCAAACUCCUACGGGAGGCAGCAGUGGGGAAUAUUGGACAAUGGGGGAAACCCUGACGCAGCGACGCCGCGUGAGCGAUGAAGUAUUUCGGUAUGUAAAGCUCUAUCAGCAGGGAAGAAAAUGACGGUACCUGACUAAGAAGCACCGGCUAAAUACGUGCCAGCCGCCGCGGUAACAC
rnacentral:rRNA from 1 species